UUCCGGUCUUGGACGGCCAUCUUGCCCUGUUGGUGCCUAGGAGAGGAGAAGGGAGGUCGCUGCUGUCAUGUCCUUGCAACUGCUGAGUAAGGGGCUGCGGCUGCGGCUGCGGCGCUUAGCCGCCGGCCCUGUCAGGGGCAUCACCUCUAAGCCCCCCCAGGACCCGACGACCCCGCUGGAGAAUUUGAUUGGCUUCACUACUUUCUUUCUGGCGAUCAUGGGACCUUCUGGUUAUAUCAUGGCAAAUCUCGAAAGCUACAAGAGUAGAGAAUGAGAAGGGAAAACCAAGCUCCUGUCCUGAAGAACAGCUGCGAUCUCUCAGCUCAGCCGCAUGAUUUCGUUCCAGAAGAGGAGGCUGGCAUCUCCCAUGCCCUUACUCCAUGAGGACCAGUGUCCUGAAAUAUUACUCUGUGCCGUUUCCUGGACCACCGAAGAUGUAGUUCAGGAGAGGUGCUCUGAGGAGACUUACGAUCUGUUACAAUAAAUCAUACUAAUGA